CUCAGGACGAACGCUGGCGGCGUGCCUAAUACAUGCAAGUCGAACGCUUUUCUUCACCGGAGCUUGCUCCAUCGAAAGAAAAGGAGUGGCGAAACGGGUGAGUAACACGUGGGUAACCUGCCCAUCAGAAGGGGAUAACACUUGGAAACAGGUGCUAAUACCGUAUAACAAUCGAAACCGCAUGGUUUCGGUUUGAAAGGCGCUUUUUGCGUUACUGAUGGAUGGACCCGCGGUGCAUUAGCUAGUUGGUGAGGUAACGGCUCACCAAGGCAACGAUGCAUAGCCGACCUGAGAGGGUGAUCGGCCACAUUGGGACUGAGACACGGCCCAAACUCCUACGGGAGGCAGCAGUAGGGAAUCUUCGGCAAUGGACGCAAGUCUGACCGAGCAACGCCGCGUGAGUGAAAAGAAGGUUUUCGGAUCGUAAAACUCUGUUGUUAGAGAAGAACAAGGAUGAGAGUAGAAUGUUCAUCCCUUGACGGUAUCUAACCAGAAAGCCACGGCUAACUACGUGCCAGCCGCCGC
rnacentral:rRNA from 1 species